UACAUGCAGUCGAGCGAAUGGAUUAAGAGCUUGCUCUUAUGAAGUUAGCGGCGGACGGGUGAGUAACACGUGGGUAACCUGCCCAUAAGACUGGGAUAACUCCGGGAAACCGGGGCUAAUACCGGAUAACAUUUUGAACCGCAUGGUUCGAAAUUGAAAGGCGGCUUCGGCUGUCACUUAUGGAUGGACCCGCGUCGCAUUAGCUAGUUGGUGAGGUAACGGCUCACCAAGGCAACGAUGCGUAGCCGACCUGAGAGGGUGAUCGGCCACACUGGGACUGAGACACGGCCCAGACUCCUACGGGAGGCAGCAGUAGGGAAUCUUCCGCAAUGGACGAAAGUCUGACGGAGCAACGCCGCGUGAGUGAUGAAGGCUUUCGGGGUCGUAAAACUCUGUUGUUAGGGAAGAACAAGUGCUAGUUGAAUAAGCUGGGCACCUUUGAGGGUAGCUACCAGAAAGCCACGGCUUACUACGUUGCAACCAGCCGCGUAAUUACUAAGGUGGC
rnacentral:rRNA from 1 species